rnacentral:rRNA from 1 species
GGUAAGUCGGGGGCAGCGGCUGGGUGAGUUGGGAGGAUCCGAGAGUUAUCCGGGUUUAUUGGGUGUAAAGGGGUGGGAGGCGGGUUUAGAAGUCAGGGGUGAAAGACGGCAGCUCAACUGUCGCAGGGCCUUUGAUACUGUAGAGCUUGAAUGUGGUUGAAGAUGGCGGAAUGAGACAAGUAGCGGUGAAAUGCAUAGAUAUGUCGCAGAACUCCGAUUGCGAAGGCAGCUGUCUAAGUCAUUAUUGACGCUGAUGCACGAAAGCGUGGGGAUCGAACAGGAUUAGAUACCCUAGUAGUC